CCCGUCACACAGCUCGGCGGCCCCUCUAUCAUUGUUGGAUGGUUUAUUCCCGGGGAAUAUGCUCUCACUCCGCUGGCAUCAUCCGCAGCAUAUAUCCUCAGUCUCGCGUCUUCCACCUCUGAUCAGAUAGGCGCAGACAGCAACGCCUUCUUGCUUCUCUCUCUAAGCAGCAGCUUCCUGCUGUCUCCCCAGGUACCAUUCCAUUUGUUCCUUGCUAAUGGUGAGGGCGUGACCGCGUGAGGGUGGCUAUCUACCUAAUGCAGCUCCGAACCUGUUUUGUUGGUGGUCAUUUAACCAUGCUUCCAUCGACGAUGGGGGUGCAUGGAUUAUUAUGGCACCGAGUGUGAUGCCAUGAACCCAUCAUGGUCAUGCAUGCUGUGUGCAUGGUUAGAUGACCAUCAGCAAACAUGUUCAUGAGGCAUGCAAGCAGGAGAUCGAUCACCACCACGCCAUGGCUAUUCCCAAUGGAGGUUUGCACUUCUCCGAUCCGGAUGUCAUGCUUCUGCCUCCGUUGUUGAUCCCGGAUCUUUCGGUCUUCUUACCAGCAUUACUUUCCUUCAGAAACUGGGGAACGGUUUCAAUCUUUGUUUGUUUUGUGCGCAUGUGGCGUGUGUUUCAUGGAGAUCCGUUCACUUCUAUUUUCGCUUGCAUCCCCUUCGCUAAAGUCCGUUGAAAUUGUCCGUCUUCGUCCUCUCGCCGACCAGUUAGAUCGUCUGUUUCCAACAACUGUCCCAAUGAGUCAUUUGAUUCGCCUACAGACUACAGGAUCUGACGACGAAGUGACCAUGAAUAUAAUCAUAUGCCUCAUGGUAUUUGUUACAGGUCCUCUACCUUGGUCAAGUAAAGGUCGAUCGGGCGUGUGGCUAUGCUCAUUCUCUGGCGAUGCAGAUGCAGUAUGUAUCAAUCGUGUUCAAUCAGCUUGCAAGGUUACAGCAGUAACUGAAGUAGUUUAAACAAUGUGAAACCGGAAUGCUACUUUUCUUUCGUAUGUAAGCUUUUCUCGAUCAAUAGUAGACUUGCAACCCAUUCAAUCGGCUCUUACCCAUCUUAUUUAGGCCUUGUUUACUUCCUCACCUAAAAAGUUUUCACUCAUUCCAUAAAAAAUUUAGACAUAUAUCAAAUAUAGAUAAAAAAAUAAACUAAUUACAUAGUUCACGAGACGAAACUUUUAAGUCUAAUUAAUCUAUGAUUAGCCUUAAGUGCUACAGUAACCUACAUAUGCUAAUGAUAGAUUAAUUAGGUUUAAUAAGUUAGUCUCGCAGUUUCCGGACAAGUUAUGUAAUUAGUUUUUUUAUUAGUAUCCGAAUACCUCUUCUGACAUCCUACGAAACAUCUGAUGUGUGACACCAAAAAUAUUUUACUCUCCAACUAAACAAGGCCUUAGAUAGAGUAUGGGUAAAAUUUUUAUUCAAUACAAAUAAGUACGGUAAGGUAUGUAGAAUGGAUUAUCCGUGGUAAGUCUUUGUCUUAAUUAAAUAAUCGAUUAAAAGAAAUAGGUGGAUCAGAUAAUAUAAGUUUAUUUUAAUUUUGGCUUUCUAAUGUGAGAUCAGAUAAUAUGGAAAUGGGCUUUGCCAAUUUGUUGGAGGUGAUUCUGGACCCAUAAUAGCCGAAUAUGGUUUUACGAGGCAUUUUAUCUAAGUCUGUUUGUUAGAGCUUCACUUCUCGAUUCUUAACUCUAACUCCUUGAUUCCUUGAAAGUGUGAUUGUAGUUGAUUCUAGUGACGGAGCAAGCGAGAAUUGAUUCUAUAGUGGAUUUAGGUGAAAAUUAAAUAGGAACCUAUGAGAAAAAUAUCUUUUUAAGGUGAUUUUUUAACCACAUUUAUCUCAUGAUGAACAUGUAGUUAAAGAUAAUCAUUGAACAUCACAAAAUAUAAUAUAAAAUAUCAUAUGCAUACUACGUGAACAUCACAAAAUAUCAUGAAAUACAAAAUAAAACAAUAAAAUUAGCAAAGUAAUUAAUUAGAGUCAAAUAAAAAGAAGAAAAAAUGCUAGUGAACAUUAUAAAAUAUAUCCUAGAACAUCGGUGUAUACUGAACAUCACAAAAGCAUCGUAGAAUAUCACAUUUGUACCCACGAACACACAAAAAUAGCAUAAAACAUCAUAUGUAUAUUAUGUGAACAUCACAUGUAUCUUGAAGUGUAAAAAAUAAAAAUAGUGAAUUAGUUAAUUAGAGUCAAAUAACACAUAAGAAAAGAUAUAAAAUCUAUACCUAAUACUAAAGAGGCAAAAUUUCAGCUUUUUUGUCUUGAAAUUUUUUGGUCUCAUCUCCCUUGCUAAUUAUAUCAUAUUUAUAAGCUAAAGAUGCAAGCAGAUGUGGACCGUCCUGCCAGCCAACUCAGUCCUCCACAAAAAUAGGCCUUAUGGACACUGCAGGCCUACUUCAAGUGACGCGGGCCUAAACAGCCAAACGUGCAAAAGUUCAAGAGACUAAAACAGACACCUGCAUUAGCACGUAAGGCUGUUGCCUUCAUCCAUGGGAGCACCGGCGCCGCAUCUGCCGCACGAGCAGACUCUGCUCGAGCGCCACGUCCGUAGCGGCGACGCUAGGGAAGCGUCAGUCAACUGCUUCACCACCAUGGCCGCCACCCUACCUCUAGGAGGACGUCUCCAGUCCGCCCCAAUGCCCGAUGUUGGCUCCCCAUCCAACUCCUCUCGGCCCCAAGCCCGGCCCAUUCUGUAGCAGGAGGGCAACACAACCCAGAUCCAUCUGACGCCCGCACCUUCAGGUUGCCAUCGCUCGUCGGCGUCGUGCCCCCAUGGUAAGAUAAGAUUGGUGCGUCGUGCCGUAAUUUGGAGGCGCCUGCCAUGGCACCUGCUAGCUACCAGCAUGCAUCUCUCUCGUUGUUUGUAGCAAAAAAACUGGAAGAUACAUGCAGACACCUGCAGAUGUCUGCUUGUUUUGCCGCAAAGCCCAACAGAACGUUGAAGGAACUAGUGUGGGCAUUAGCAGACUCUGCAGGUGUAGUAAAAAAAUUAGGGCCGAUGAUGCGGUGGCCCGCAGGCACUCUAUAGAGCGGCCCGCUUGCAUCAUUAUUAGAAGCAUGAUUACGGAACUCUGUUGGAGCUUGGGGAGAGAUUGAACAUGUGGGCAAGGAGAGACCAGGCUAGUCUUAAAAGAGUACGGCUCCAUUCCAUCGAUGUGCUGAACGAUGUGCUGAACGGGUGCAGUUCUAAGCCCAUCACAUUUCCCUGAGCCGUGUGAGCCGCCUCGUGAUACAUAUAACUAUCGGUAAUACUUUGACACAGACAUUCGGCCGAUUCCGGACAUGGCGCCAGCUCACCCAGAUCCCUCACCGCUCGCUCCUAUCUAUAUGUGGCUCUUCUCCUCCACCCAUAUCAAAAUAUCUCUGCCUUUUACUACUUGCUUUCUCAUCCUCUCUCUCUCCUCCUCAAAAAUCAACCGCAGUCUUCCUCUACCCAACCCGCUCAGAAGACAUUAACAUGUGCGCCGCGCUCCCCCAUCUCUCUCUUCAGCCGGAGCUCGAGCACGCAGUAGAGGAUCCAUGGAGGCGGCGUCCUCUACCCAUCCUUAGCCCGACGGGCCUCCUCCACCCUGGCGCGUCGUCCCCCACCUCGACGACGGCCAUGGUGGCCUUCCCGUGGUGGAUCCAUAGAGCACCAGUUUUUCUAUGAUGGAUCCAUGAGCGUUGGCCUUCCUAUGGUGGAUCCAUGGAGCACAACGUAGAUCCAGCAAUGUGGUGGUCUCCACCUAGCAGGUGACGACAGCCCAUCCCUCAUCCCAUCCAUGGAGGGCGACUCAUUCUGCACCCUGACGGCGCCUCCAACCCAUGUCCCUCCCCUCUUUUCUGUAUCUUGCGUCCGUAGUAGAUUUUACGGUGUUGCAACAGUCUAUUUGAGAUGUUUCAGUUGUUGUACUUUUAUUGUUGCAAUAAUAUGUUUCUUUGUGUUUCAACUUUUUUUAUCUCAAUGUUGCAGUAGUACUGCUUUUUUUGAGAUGUUGAAGUACGUUUCAGUUACUUCAAUCUCAUAUUGUAGUAGUUGUUUUAUGUUGUUGCAAUAAUUUAUUCGGUGGUUGCAAUAACAUAUUCACGAUGUUUAACUGGUUCAACUUAUUUGUUGCAACAGUUUAUUUGGUGUUGUUAUAAUAAGAUGUUCAUGGUGUUUCAA